rnacentral:tRNA from 1 species
GCACCGGUAGCUCAGUGGAAGAGAGCUGGCCACGGGUUGGGGUAAGGUCGUGGGUUCGAGUCCCACCCGGGUUA